GAGUUAGUAACUUAAUUGGCAAAGAGCUUCCUUGUCGAGGAAGUAGAUGCCGGAUCAUGGCCGGCCUAACUCG
rnacentral:tRNA from 1 species